GUAAUUUGCAGAGGAUGCUUUUGGUGCGGUGCCUUCCAAGUUCCCUAGAACGGGACGCCAGAGAGGGUGAGAGCCCCGUACAGUUGGACACCAAGCCUUUGUAAAGCUCCUUCGACGAGUCGAGUAGUUUGGGAAUGCUGCUCAAAAUGGGAGGUAUAUUUCUUCUAAAGCUAAAUACCGGCCAGAGACCGAUAGCGCACAAGUAGAGUGAUCGAAAGAUGAAAAGCACUUUGAAAAGAGGGUUAAACAGCACGUGAAAUUGUUAAAAGGGAAGCGCUUGUGACCAGACUUGCGUCCGGUGAAUCACCCAGCUCUCGCGGNUGGGGCACUUCGCCGGCUCAGGCCAGCAUCAGCUCGCUGUCGGGGACAAAAGCUUCAGGAACGUAGCUCUCUUCGGGGAGNGUUAUAGCCUGUUGCACAAUACCCUUCGG
rnacentral:rRNA from 1 species